rnacentral:rRNA from 1 species
GACGAACGCUGGCGGCGUGCCUAAUACAUGCAAGUAGGAGCAAGUUUCGAACGGGUGAGUAACGCGUAGGUAACCACCCAUUAGAGGGGGAUAACACUUGGAAACGAAAGCUAAUACCGCAUACUCGCUGAUGGACCUGCGUUGGAUUAGCUAGUGGGUUGGGUAAUGGCCUACCAAGGCAACGAUACAUAGCCGACCUGAGAGGGUGAUCGGCCACACUGGGACUGAGAAACGGCCCAGACUCCUACGGGAGGCAGCAGUGGGGAAUAUUGCACAAUGGUCGCAAGCCUGAUGCAGCCAUGCCGCGUGUAUGAAGAAGGCCUUCGGGUUGUAAAGUACUGUCAGCGAGGAGCGUUACUCGCAGAAGAAGCACCGGCUAACUCCGUGCCAGCAGCCGCGGUAAUAC